GCUCCAGUUCUGCUAGUGCAGUGGUUAGCAUGAGCCAUUCGAGAAAGUGAGACGCGGGUUCAAACUCCCGCUUGGAGUU